GCUCUGGCACCUGCUGUCCCCACAGCUCCUGGUGUGAGUGCUGGGCAUGGAGAGCGAACCCACAGGAGGGCGGAGUUCAUGACCACUCCAAGCGCUGUCUUCGAGGAAAGAAAACUGCCCUGAUGAUCGAGAACUGAUAAGCACCUGAAACCCUGCCCAGGCCUGCGACCACCAGUGCCCGUUUUGCUGUACUUCUUUCUCUUGCUGUGGAUUCCUUAAAAACCAUCAAAGUGCAGUGUAGCCACAAACGGAAGAGUCAGGAAGGUUUGCCACACCUAGCUUAAGUUCACACGCUGCUUUGCAAGUAAAGAAGCUCUGGAUGAAGUCCGGCCCCCAGAGCAAGAAGCACACCGAGGCCAGAGCUGCGGGCUGCGUGGGCUUUUGGGGAUCAGCUGCCGCUGCACAGGGGGCACUUGGGCAGUGACAGCAUGGAGGUGUCAGGUGGCUGUGCUGUGAUGCAUAUGAAUAUCCUCCUCCAAGAAGGCACAGAAACACCGGCAACACAAUUCAACCUGGAAUCGGCAAGCCCAUGACCAGUGAGGCAGGAUGGGAACGUGCAGCCCCAUUCUCCUUCCAGCACAGAGGACAGAAGAGCAAAGAGCAGAGCUGCACUUUAGUUUCCCAGCCUUUUAACAAACUGAAACUUCACUUCAACCAGAACGGGACUGUGGAGCCCACUACCAUCGUUAAAGCAGAUGCUCCACAUUGCUCAUGUGGUGACAGGAACCUCAGAGACUGAAUAUCAUCUGCUGACACACCACUACUGAAAAUGAUGAUCUGGCUCUGCAUUCUCAGCUGUGGCACUACUGCAAUUCUGGACCAAUCAGUUCUUUGUUCGGGUGUGCACGGCAGGAUGUUCAGCUGCGUCCCUGCGUUCUACCCACCGGGUCCAGCAAUCCACGCCCUCACAGAGUGACAAC